ACAAAGCGAAACUGCGAAUGGCUCAUUAUAUAAGUUAUCGUUUAUUUGAUAGUACCUUACUACAUGGAUAACCGUGGUAAUUCUAGAGCUAAUACAUGCUGAAAAUCCCGACUUCGGAAGGGAUGUAUUUAUUAGAUACAAAACCAAUGCCCUUCGGGGCUCUCUUGGUGAUUCAUGAUAACUUCUCGAAUCGCACGGCCCCGCGCCGGCGAUGGUUCAUUCAAAUUUCUUCCCUAUCAACUUUCGAUGCUACGGUAUUGUCCUAGCAUGGUUGCAACGGGUGACGGAGGGUUAGGGCUCGACCCCGGAGAAGGAGCCUGAGAAACGGCUACUACAUCCAAGGAAGGCAGCAGGCGCGCAAAUUACCCAAUCCCGAUACGGGGAGGUAGUGACGAUAAAUACCGAUACAGGGCUCUUUUGGGUCCUGUAAUUGGAAUGAGUACAAUUCAAAUCCCUUAACGAGGAACAAUUGGAGGGCAAGUCUGGUGCCAGCAGCCGCGGUAAUUCCAGCUCCAAUAGCGUAUAUUAAAGUUGUUGUGGUUAAAAAGCUCGUAGUAGAAGCUCGGGCUCCGGCCGACCGGUCCGCCUCACCGCGUGCACUGGUUCGGCCGGGCCUUCACCUUCUGCGGAACCGCAUCUCCUUCACUGGGGGUGUCGGGGAAACAGGACGUUUACUGUGAAAAAAUUAGAGUGCUCCAGGCAGGCCUAUGCUCGAAUAGAUUAGCAUGGAAUAAUGGAAUAGGACGUGUGGUCUUAUUUCGUUGGUUUCUAGGACCGCCGUAAUGAUUAAUAGGGACAGUCGGGGGCAUCAGUAUUCAAUCGUCAGAGGUGAAAUUCUUGGAUCGAUUGAAGACUAACUACUGCGAAAGCAUUUGCCAAGGAUGUUUUCAUUUAUCAGGAACGAAAGUUAGGGGAUCGAAGACGAUCAGAUACCGUCGUAGUCUUAACCAUAAACUAUGCCGACUAGGGAUCGGACGGUGUUAUUUCUUGACCCGUUCGGCACCUUACGAGAAAUCAAAGUGCUUGGGCUCCAGGGGGAGUAUGGUCGCAAGGCUGAAACUUAAAGAAAUUGACGGAAGGGCC
rnacentral:rRNA from 1 species